rnacentral:lncRNA from 1 species
AAUUGAGAUUUAAUAAAUUAAUGAUUAAGAAAAAAGUAUUUUAGACUAGCCAAGUUAAAAUUGAGAAUAGUCUUAUCAUGGUAGGAACACGGCUGAGAAUAGCCGACUAUGGGCAAAUACCUGAUACCGAGAAUAACCCACUAUUAGCAGAUACAUGGUACUGAGAAUAGCCUAUCAUGGACAGAUAUAUGGUACUGAGAAUAGCUCCACCAUGGGC